UACGUAGGGUGCAAGCGUUAUCCGGAAUUAUUGGGCGUAAAGAGCUCGUAGGCGGUUUGUCGCGUCUGCUGUGAAAACUGGGGGCUCAACCCCCAGCCUGCAGUGGGUACGGGCAGACUAGAGUGCGGUAGGGGAGAUUGGAAUUCCUGGUGUAGUGGUGGAAUGCGCAGAUAUCAGGAGGAACACCGAUGGCGAAGGCAGAUCUCUGGGCCGUAACUGACGCUGAGGAGCGAAAGCAUGGGGAGCGAACAGG
rnacentral:rRNA from 1 species